AGAAGAAAAGAAGAGGAGUGGAAGAAGCAGAGGUGUGACCCCAGGGGAAGAGCCUCUGGGACUCACUCCUUCUAGUCCACCUCUUCUUCCUUGAAGAUGGUCUAGAGCCCUCCACUGCGGCAGCAGAUGGCAAGUUUGACAGUCGUCCAGGGAAAACCAGUUCCAAUUCUCCAACCCCGUAGCAUAUCUGUUGUGUCACCGUUGUCUGAAGAAGGAAGGAGGACCCAGUGUCCUGUCGUCCCGGCAGGAGGAUGGAAAGUUUGAGGCCAGCCUCAGCCACUUAGCAACUUAGCGAGAACCUAACAGCACCUGCUGGCUGUGAGGUUCCCUCCCAGGUACUAAGCAGCAGAAAAAGAAAAGCCCAGCCACAGGAAAGUAAGGAUCUAGAGAAUUCAUUUUUUAAAAUAAAUAAGAAGCGGGGAGAGGAGAGCGAGUUCUUAAAAGAUCAAAAAUGAACAGGAAAGAUAUACAGACACCCUGGGCUUUGGAUCAUUCAAAUUAACAAUCUUUGCACUUUGCCCUGGAGAAAAGUGAUAAGGAUUCAGUAGAAACUUCAGAUUUGGGGCUUUGAUCUUUUUCCCAAGCCACUGAUAGCAGCAGACGCUCUCAGUGUUGGACACUCUUCUUCAGAACCUCACUGGUGGCCGCGCUGUGCAGCAGGUUAGGUUUGCAGAACACAAUCGACUCACAAUCUUUUAACUCACCACGUGCUCACGGGGACGUGGGCCUGUUGUUUAUCCAGGGGUCUGCGCUGGGGCAAAGACCAACUGAGGUCACCGUGGAAAGCUCAGUGUCCGGGACUCCUUUUGCUUUUUCAUUAAA
rnacentral:lncRNA from 1 species